AGAUGCUCGUCCUGAGAACCAAGUAACAAAGAUCCAGAAAAUCAGGCCCAGAAUUGAGAGGAAAAAUAACAGGUCGUGAAAGACGAGAGAUGCUCCCCAGCUACGACACCGUCGGUAACCUCCAGCCUCCAACGCCCCCCACUCCUGCGGUCAGAUCUCUGGAUCUCGCUCUUGAACGCUUGGGACGUUCGCCGUUGGAGGGUGGAAACGUCAUUGAGCGUGUUUGAAAUUUAACAUUUUUUUUUCCUUCCGGGGGUUUUAGUCGUGUUUGGCUGGCCUGCUCCUGUUUGUGGAGCUGAAUUGAAAUCAGAACCACAGUCCUGGAGCCAGCUGGUAUACACGCCAGUAUCCCCCAGCUCUUCUGGACUUUGGGAAAAUCGACCCCCAAGUGGUGAGCGCCAAGAGAGCUCCCGCCUUAGGGGUGGAGGAGCGUCCGCUGAGAUCCUCCACUGCCUGGGACCCACCCUUCUUCCUCCACCUCACCCCGCCUUGCCCCUUUAUUCUGAGCGCGGAGACUAGAGCCCUCUUAGGCCCCAGAGGAGACGCUAUAGACAUUUUUAUUCUCUCAGGAAACAGACACACACAUCCACACACAAGCACCCAAAUCGCGUGGCCUGAAGAGCCAGGUAGAAGGCGACUCUGGAGGGUCCGGGUGCCAGAAGCAAAUGAAAUCCUUUUGGUACCUCUUUCCGGAAGGAACUUCCUCUCCUUGGAUGACCUCCUUGGGCAUUCCGUGCACCUUAGACAACAAAAGAAACUGACAACCGGGGACAGACUCGAGGUGCGCCGGGACCCCGACUCCUCGGUCUCCGUUUGGAGAGGGGCGGACAGGCAGCCCGGCAAGCAAGCUCAUCCCACCCCGGGGGGCGGCAGGCACCCUCUCCCGAGCAGGCCCCAGGAAGGCAGAGGCGGGGCGGUCCUCCGCGUCCCAGCCCAGGUCCCUCGAGCGGUUUCCCUCCUAAUUCCCGACCCCGCCGAGCCCGGCCGGGCGCCGGGCAGGGAGGGGUCAGCGCGGGGCGCAGAGUUCACGCUGUGCCCGGAGAACCCUCUUGCC
rnacentral:lncRNA from 1 species